rnacentral:tRNA from 1 species
AUAACUCAGUGGUAGAGUGUGUGCUUAGCAUGCACAAGGUCCUGGGUUCAAUCCCUGGU